AUUGAACGCUGGCGGCAGGCCUAACACAUGCAAGUCGAGCGGAUGAAGGGAGCUUGCUCCUGGAUUCAGCGGCGGACGGGUGAGUAAUGCCUAGGAAUCUGCCUGGUAGUGGGGGAUAACGUCCGGAAACGGGCGCUAAUACCGCAUACGUCCUGAGGGAGAAAGUGGGGGAUCUUCGGACCUCAGGCUAUCAGAUGAGCCUAGGUCGGAUUAGCUAGUUGGUGGGGUAAAGGCCUACCAAGGCGACGAUCCGUAACUGGUCUGAGAGGAUGAGCAGUCACACUGGAACUGAGACACGGUCCAGACUCCUACGGGAGGCAGCAGUGGGGAAUAUUGGACAAUGGGCGAAAGCCUGAUCCAGCCAUGCCGCGUGUGUGAAGAAGGUCUUCGGAUUGUAAAGCACUUUAAGUUGGGAGGAAGGGCAGUAAGUUAAUACCUUGCUGUUUUGACGUUACCAACAGAAUAAGCACCGGCUAACUUCGUG
rnacentral:rRNA from 1 species